rnacentral:rRNA from 1 species
GUCUACAGCCAUGCUACCCUGAACAAGCUCGAUCCCAUCUGAUCUCGGAAGCUAAGCAGGGUCGGGCCUGGUUAGUACUUAGAUGGGAGACCGCCUAGGAAGACCAGGUGCUGUAGGCU